rnacentral:misc_RNA from 1 species
GAUGAAGAACGCAGCGAAAUGCGAUAAGUAAUGUGAAUUGCAGAAUUCAGUGAAUCAUCGAAUCUUUGAACGCACAUUGCGCCCGCCAGUAUUCUGGCGGGCAUGUCUGUUCGAGCGUCAUUUCAACCCUCAGGCCCCCAGUGCCUGGUGUUGGGGAUCGGCCCAGCCUUCCUGUAAGGCCGCCGGCCCCGAAAUCUAGUGGCGGUCUCGCUGUAGUCCUCCUCUGCGUAGUAGCACAACCUCGCAGUUGGAACGCGGCGGUGGCCAUGCCGUUAAACACCCCACUUCUGAAAGUUGACCUCGGAUCAGGUAGGAAUACCCGCUGAACUUAAGCAUAUCAAUAAGCGGAGGA